ACACAUGCACUCUACUCUAAUUUCGCCAUGAGAAAAUAAAGCAAAAGAAAAACCCUCAUUUCUUCAUUUUUCUUUCUCCUCCUCCAUUUUUUCCUCUUCUCCCAUUUCAUUUUUCUCUCCUUCUCCCUCUUUUUUUCAUUUUCUUUAUAUUCUACCUUUGCGGAAAAUCGGCCAAAUCACUCAAAUCUUCCAAAUUAUUCGCUUCAAAUCCAGCUUCAAUCGUUGAAAUGCAUCUUCAAUCGCCCAAAUCUGCUUCAUUUGUUCAAACCCCUUCAAAAUCGCUUCAUUCGUUCAAAUCCCUUCAAAUCUAGCUUCAUUCGUCCAAAUCGCCCCAAAUCCACCUUCGUUCGCUCAAAUCCAGCUUCAAUCACUCAAUCCAACUCCAAUCUUCCAUCGC
rnacentral:lncRNA from 1 species